AACGAACGCUGGCGGCAUGCCUAACACAUGCAAGUCGAACGAAACGUCCGGCUUUCGUUUCUGACGUGUGCGUAACGGGGGGGAACCUGGCCGUAGAAUCCGAAUAACUCCUCCAAAGGGGUUGGGAAACCGGAUAAGGUCCUCGGACCAAUGAUUUAUCGCCCUUGAGGGGGCCGGCGGUGGAUUAGCUAGUUGGUAGGGUAAAGGCGGACCAAGGCGAGGACCCAUAGCUGGUCUGAGGGGAUGAUCAGCCACACGGGGACUGAGACACGGCACCGGUUGGUAAGGGAGGACGCAGUGGGGAAUAUUGGACCAGCGGCGCCAGGCUGAUCCAGCCAUGCUGCGUGAGUGAUGAAGGUUUUAGGGUUGUAAAGCUCUUCUAGCCGGGAUGAUAAUGACGGUACCGGGAGAAUAAGCACCGGCUAACUACGUG
rnacentral:rRNA from 1 species